rnacentral:rRNA from 1 species
AGUUUGACUCUCGGCUCAGACGACGGCUGGCGGCGCGCUUAACACAUGCAAGUCGAGCGAUGAAAUUCGACAGAACCCUCGGGGUGAAGAUGAAAUGGAUUAGCGGCGGACGGGUGAGUAACACGUGAGUAACCUGCCUUUGACAUUGGGAUAGCCUCGGGAAACUGGGAUUAAUACCAAAUGACACUAACUGGUCACAUGAUCAAUUAGUCAAAGAAAUUCGGUCAAAGAUGGACUCGCGGCUGAUUAGCUAGUUGGUGAGGUAACGGCCCACCAAGGCGACGAUCAGUAGCCGGCCUGAGAGGGUGACCGGCCACAUUGGAACUGAGACACGGUCCAAACUCCUACGGAAGGCAGCAGUGGGGAAUAUUGCACAAUGGGGGAAACCCUGAUGCAGCGACGCCGCGUGAGCGAAGAAGGCCUUCGGGUCGUAAAGCUCUUUUAUGAGGGAAGAUAAUGACGGUACCUCAAGAAAAAGCCCCGGCUAACUACGUG